rnacentral:lncRNA from 1 species
CGUACUUGUGUUUCGAGUUGCGUGGUCGUGCGGAGUUAUAUUUACCAAAUUUAAAUCCCUUCCAACAUGCUGUCAAAAUUAAAUCAAUAUGUCAAUAUGGCUACUGGGUGUAAAAGAUAAAUCUUAUUCUAUCUGUUCUUAAUGAGUUUUAGAUAAUUUUAGUUGUAUUUCUUUGUAAUUUUGUGUUGUACAAAGAUUAAUUUAACAUUUUCUCUGGAAGUAUUAAUUUAGAAAGAUAAUAUGCUUCAUUGGUGUUGUGUUUUGAAGUGUGAAAUGCAAAGUAAUUGUGAUAAAAAGAUAAAGUUCACUUUUAAACUGAACUAAAUAAGGUAUCUGAGAGACAACAAUGGUUAAAUGCAAUACAAUGUACAGGUUUUACUAGCGAAAUGAAAAUUUUCCUGUCCUGUCUGCUGUAAUCAUUUUAUAUCUGGAAAACCAGCCGACUUAAUCGAUAAUAACAAUCUCCAGAUUGGGUUCCUUCAAUAAAUAUGGGCUAUUAACACAAUGAAAUAAAUUCCAGAAAAUCUAAAAUGGAGUGGUAUCAAAGGAGAAUUAAAGGAAAAAAUAUUCAUAUUGAAAUUAUUUAUAAGGCACUGGACUGUCUUAAAUUCUACAAUAAUACUAGAAUCAGCUGAGAGAAGUGGUCUACAAAAAACCAGGAAGGAAACGGAAUAUGUGGCUACGAAAGGCAAAAGAAAGGUUUACAAAGCAAAUGUGACACAUUUUUUUGAAAUAUUUAGGAAUAUCAGUAAAUUGCAUUAAAAGAAUGUAUGAAAAGAUUUUGUUCAAUAAAAAUGUUUAUAUUUAUCAAGGAUGUAUUAUUUGGUAUGGCCACAUAUCGUCAGUGAUGUAAUAAUACAUCCUAUCUGUUUUUUCAUGAGUUUUGUAAGAGAGACUAAAAACUUGUCUUAGGGUCACCUCCUGUUUUCAUAUGAUAUUUUUGACUUGUUUUGUAGUAAAUUAAACUAUCUAUGAACUACAAAACAAGUCAAAACUUACAUAUGAACACAGGAGGUGACCUUAAAACAUGUUUUUCCAUCUCUCAUACAAAACUCAUGAAAAAACAGAUAGGAGGUAUUGUCACAUCAGCAAGGAUGUACAGUGAUAAGUGCCCUAAUAACCGGCAAAAUAUGGCAACAUAUUUAGUUGUGAGAUAAAAAGAAAUGAAACUAGUUGAGCUGGGAAAUUUAGCGAAAUUAACCUUUAAAUUUACGUUAUAUUGAUCCCACCUUUACACAUAUCGGAGGAGUAUGUCAACUAAAACUGUCACUGUGACAGUGGUAGUUUCCAAACUCGUCUGAUACAUCUGAAGGUGGUACACAAUCAAUACAAUCUAAAUGUAUAAGUUAAUAUCGCUAAAUUUCCCAGCUCAACUAGUUUCAUGUCUUUUUAUCUCACUACUUAAUACAUCUUUUGUGCUAUUUUGCCGGUUAUUAGAGCGCUCAUCACUGUAUUUCUGGUAUAUCCAGGGAAUGUCUACAAAAUAUAUUUUGAAUGUCCAGAGAACAUUCGUGGACAUUCAUGGAAUGUUCCAAUAAGACAUUCAGGUAAUGUUUAAACACUCAGGUAAUGUUUGCUGACACAGGAUUUUCCUGGGAUGUUCUCAGGGAACAUGUUUUCGGGGAUAUUCCAGGAAUUUUUCAAUGUCUGUGUACCUUCUAUGGACCUAUAUGGAAUAUUUUGGUGUUAUUACCGCCGCACUCCACUUGCGAUUUGUAAUCAGGAAGAUUGAACACAUUGUUUCAAAUACAAGUCA